rnacentral:tRNA from 1 species
UUAUGUGCCUGAAUAAAGGGUUAAUUUGAUAGAUUAAAUAAUGAAAUAUAUCAA